rnacentral:rRNA from 1 species
GAUCCUGGCUCAGGAUGAACGCUGGCGGCGUGCCUAACACAUGCAAGUCGAGCGAAGCGAUCGAGAUGAAGUUUUCGGAUGGAUUCCUGAUUGACUGAGCGGGCGGACGGGUGAAGGUAACGCGUGGGUAACCUGCCUCAUACAGGGGGGAUAACAGUUAGAAAUGACUGCUAAUACCGCAUAAGCGCACAGUACCACAUGGUACGGUGUGAAAAACUCCGGUGGU